rnacentral:rRNA from 1 species
UACGUAGGGUGCAAGCGUUAAUUGGAAUUACUGGGCGUAAAGCGUGCGCAGGCGGUUUUGUAAGUCUGUCGUGAAAGCCCCGGGCUCAACCUGGGAAUUGCGAUGGAGACUGCAAGGCUUGAAUCUGGCAGAGGGGGGUAGAAUUCCACGUGUAGCAGUGAAAUGCGUAGAGAUGUGGAGGAACACCGAUGGCGAAGGCAGCCCCCUGGGUCAAGAUUGACGCUCAUGCACGAAAGCGUGGGGAGCAAACAGG